CCUACGGGGGGCAGCAGUGAGGAAUAUUGGUCAAUGGCCGGAAGGCUGAACCAGCCAUGCCGCGUGAAGGUCAGUGCCCUAUGGGCGUUAAACUUCUUUUGUGCGGGAGCAAUAAUGGUCACGUGUGGCCAGACGAGAGUACCGUACGAAUAAGCAUCGGCUAACUCCGUGCCAGCAGCCGCGGUAAUACGGGGGAUGCGAGCGUUAUCCGGCUUUAUUGGGUUUAAAGGGUGCGUAGGCUGUGAGGUAAGUCAGCGGGGAAAUGCCCCCGCUCAACGGGGUGAAGUGCCAUUGAUACUGCCUUGCUGGAAUGCGGAUGCCGUGGGAGGAAUGUGUGGUGUAGCGGUGAAAUGCAUAGAUAUCACACAGAACACCGAUUGCGAAGGCAUCUCACGAAUCCGCGAUUGACGCUGAUGCACGAAAGCGUGGGUAUCAAACAGGAUUAGAUACCCGAGUAGUC
rnacentral:rRNA from 1 species